rnacentral:lncRNA from 1 species
AUUUUCCCGUUUUCUCAACCAAUUCUCGCUUUAUACACCAGAUAAAAGCCCAUUUUGGUUUUGUACAAAAUCUUAGAAAACCUAAUCAUUUCUCUCUUGCCCUUCCCUUGAUCAUCAUUUGUGCUGCUAUUCCUCUUUAAAAAUUAAUCAUCUGCACUCUUCACAUUUUUCUAAGAUCUCGUCAAAAAUCAUUGGGAUCAGAAAUUGGCUCACAAAGGUAAGGAAAUCUCCCAAAAUUUUUGUAGAAUUUUGAUAUCCUUAUUUAACCACUCGAAUCCUAGGUAAAUUAUUUACAUUUGUCAGAUUUGGUUUAGGUUUUUCCACUUUCUGCUUCUUCCGUUUGUUUAGAAACAAAUUUUCAUUUUUUAAGAUUAUAAUCAAAUGUAAGUGUUUUAGCUUUUAAUUUCAUCUAUCAUUUGCAAUUUUGUGUUUGCCUUUUUCAUUUCACACGCUCUCUAUUUCUCUAAAUCAGUGUGGGACUAUUUGGUCAAGAGGAGUAUAAAAGAGAAGAAGACCAAACUCUCUUAAUCUUCUUUCCUCUGUUUCUUGUUUCUCUAAGAAAGUUGAGAGAUAGGGAUUGGACAGGAAAUGAUUAUAGCUUUCAGCAUCAUGAAAUAAAUGGAUGAUGUUUUAUGCUACUAUUCAUGGGAGCCUCGUUGAAUAAAGAGAAGUGGUUUGAGUUAAGUUGAUUUGAUUUUCUCUAUUUUUUGAUAAUUAAUGAGUUUGACCCCAAUGUUGGCCUUUUUUCUUUACUUACUCUUUGUGGGUUUUUAAUAAAAUUUGGGAUCUAUUUUAUGAACUGAAAUUGCAAGUGAGAAUUGAGUUGGAAAGCUUGAGAAUGUGGGAAGAGUAGUGAGGGAUGGAGGGAGUGAAUGCACAGUUUUUGAGUUUUCCAAUAAACGGUCUUAAGAAGAGAAACAUGGUUUUUCCAUUAUAUACAGACUAAUUUCUAAAAUUUUUUGAAUCCUUUUUCAAAUUUUGCUCCAAUUCUUGGUCUUUCUAAUUUCUAUUGGAUUUGAUGAGUUUAUUUGUUUUACUUCGUAUUAUGUUGCCUUGUUUCCCUAAAUUUAAUUUUUUGCCACUUGAUUUUCAUUUGUUCUUUGUAUUGUGCAUAUAAAUAAAUUCCCUUUCUUGUAAUUUUUUUAUUUUGAUUUUCAUUUUUUGAUUGUGAUUAUCUCAACAAAAAUGCAAAGCCAAGCAAAUUUAUUGCCUUGAUUAAUUUGAGAUUAGUGUUGAGAAAUGAUGGGAUAUAUUUGAUGAAAAUAGUGCAGUUGGCAGCAAGGAUUGGAGUUUCAAAUUUGUACAAGAAAACAAAGAAAUCAUUU